GCCUGGGCCUUCUUCUCAUUUCUGACAGAACACAGACAAAACGAGACAUGCCUGGGCCCAGCCCCUUGGACGUGGUUCAGAGCUCAGGCCCAGGGCUCUUCGCCUGGGCGGGCAGGAGUGGGGCUGGGGACAGAGGCUGUCCCUUGCUGGUCUCCAAGUUCUGAGGCCUAAACUGGCUGGGAUCAUUUGCGGGGACGUUGGCCACGGUCCUCGAUGGCGCCGGCCAGCCCCCGGAUUUUAUGAUCUGCGAGCUCCUUUUCCCUGCCUCUCAGACUGAAAGAUGAUAUUCUGUGAUGUACAACCCGCUGCGCCGGCGGCCGGAGGCAGAGGCUGGGGACCCCGGAGAGCCGGCCGCGGGGAGAUUCCACAUAGGAGCGAUCUCAUGUGGUAUUUUUCUUUCUCUCCAAAGAGCUUCUGUGAAUAUGAUUUAUCAAUAUCUACCGAAGUGGAACUUAAAAGGU